rnacentral:lncRNA from 1 species
UUUAUUGAAGUAUUUUCUAAACCUCUAUUGUGCUAAUGGACAUGUCUAUUCUCUGAAAGGAUGGUGCACGGUGCUUUCCAAACGAAGCUGGACAUGCCAUGCUUUUGUUUUUUCUGGAGUGGAUCUCUGUUUUAGUGUUUUCCAGAACACAUUUCAGGAGACAAAAAAAGAAUGUCUCUGUGUUCUCAAUGCUGUUACAUCAUUGUACUCAUUUCUAAUAGUCUAAUAAUUCCAGGAGGCAUUUCACAAACAAAAUUACUUCCUUGUGGGGACUCUUCACAUACGACUGCAGGAGCACAGAGUGCAUGGUAAGCCCAGGGUAUCUUAACAACACUCACAGUAGCAAUUAACUCUAGUCUUCAUUAUGUGAUUCUAACUUCUGCAGUUUUAAUAUUUGUGUAGAUGUUUCCCUCUUCUCCACAUCUACCUUUAUUCAUUAAAUGCUCUAUGAAUAGAAAGACUGCAUGAUGCUGCACUGGCCAUUAGAGUUGCAUCCAUAAGCCCUCAUUGCAUACUCUUAAAUUUUCAGUUAAAUCUUGAAAUGAAAAUGUACAAGCCAUCCCUGCAGUUAAUCUAAGUAUCUCACUGAUAUGUAAAAGUAAAAAUUAAAAUUUUUAACUUUUAGAUGUUAAAGACAUUUUGAAACUGAAAGACACAUUUAACUGAAUAUUCUAUUUUUCAUGAAAAUGGUUCUUAAUCUCUAACCUGAAAUUAGGCCAGUAAGGGUCUAUUCAAGAAGUUAAUUUGGAUCAAAUGAUCCCAAAUUCAGACUGGAAUAAUUAGCACUCCAUAAUAAUCUUUUCUUCCUUGUUUCUGAAAUCUCCAGAUGUUUUAUUUACGACUUGAACUAUACUGUCCUCCUAAAUUCUGCUCAAAAUAUAUUUGUAAAUAAAACCUUCACGAGUAAGGCUUUUGUUCUUGCCAUCACCUGGAAACUCACGGAGCAUUUGUGGAGAAAUUCCAUUUGAUGAGAAGAGGACUUCAUAGACUUAAAGUAGUACCUAUGAUCGCUUUCCAGGGUGUUUUUGCAGGCCAGUUCUCUCUUCUGGUAUAUUUCUUUUCUUUUCACUUUCAUAAAAUUUUGAAUAUGUUUUUAAAACUUUUAACAAAAUGUUGGCACUUUACCUUUUUUUUUGUUCUUCCAUUUAGGAUCCAUUAUUUGGAAGUGAGAAAGACUUUGGCCAGAGGGGCUGACUCUGGUAAACUGAUAUUUUUUUCCCUUGUAAAUGCCUCAAAAGAAACAGUGAGGCAGGAUGCACUUUGCCAACCCUUGGGGCAGGGAUCCUGCUUUAGUGAACUGCUAUCUCAUUUUAGUGUUUCUUUUAAGUUCCUGAGGGAAGGACACUAAAGAAGAGGUUACCCAUCUAAACACAUGCAACAGAAAUUCAGAACACAGAUUCUUGUUUUAAAAUCCUAAGAUUUCCAAUUAGAAUUCUAGUUUCAAAGAGGUUACUUUCAAUUUCUCUCUCAUUAAUCUAAUGGAGUCUAAAAUGUCACAGACUAAAAAUGACAUUCUUAACUAAAUUAGCAUAAUUUGACUAUUUGGAUAUUUGUUAAUUGGAAAGGUAAAAUUUCUAUGCAAAUAGGCCAUAAUUUUGAUUACACAUACAAUUUAUAUAGCUUACAACCACUGGUGAUGAUGGAACUGUGGAUUUCUUUAUAAAUGUAUUUUGUCACAUUUAUUAAUCUGAAUCAUAAGAUCUAAGUGACAAAGACAUCAUUAAAUUGUCCUUGAAUAUCUGUAGUAAUCAUCUGGUCACUGGACAUUCAGGAGUUGAUAUAAACACAUGUUGAAGAACAUGGAUAGAAAUAGGAGGCUAGGGAGGGGAUAGUAAAUACAUAACUCUAGCUACUCCUUUCCUAGAUUCAUACUCUAUUUGAAGGAGAGGUGGAGAACCAAACUCAUGAGUGAAUUUUUCUAAUGCAAACUCAUUUUGAAAAAGGCACAAAGGUCUAGAUAUAGAAAUAGGUGAGGGACCGGAAUCCUUUCCCUUCUUAGAAUCAGGACAUUGACUGAGAACAGAAGAUGGAUAGCUUCCUAAGAGCAAUAGGAUGCUGUUAACAGAAGAAGAUGGAAUACAUACUGAAUGAGAAAUAAAUAAGUAAAUAAACAAAUAGACCACUACACUGGAAAAAAAAAUUUUGAUCCAAUCACAGGUCCAUCAGGGGUAGAGGGUAAAAACACAGAGAUUCAUUCCUUAAACUACGGGGUUUCAGUAUAUGAUAUUCUCUCUAGUCUCUUCUAUUUCUAACAUUUUGUUUCUAUAUUAAAAGCUUCAAAUAAAUGUGCUGCACAGGCCCAGAAAAGUCAAGAGUUAGGAGGAAUUACAACUGUGUGAGAAUGGGCACAUAAAUACUCUUCUAUUUAUUUCUACUCUUCUGGAAGUUGCCCUUUUGAAUUUUUUGCAUAAGGAAAAGGUCCUCUAGAAAACCUGAAUAAUACUGAGGUUAUUUUAUUGCUUAACAUGAUUCAAUUGAGCUUCUCUUAUGUGACUAUAGCCUGCUAAACACCAGAGUUACAAAAAGGAUAAAAAUGUCCCAUUCUUUCAGGAAUAUUCAGAUAUUGGAAGAGACAGAUAAUCAUAAGGUUUCAAUAUGAAAAGUGUUAUAACAGACAUGAUCACGAUAUUAUGUCAUCAAAAAUAAGAGGUACCUUUCUCAUCUAAAGAGCUCAUGAAGAACCUCCUGAAUUAAUGGUGGAUGAGCUAAAUUCUUGAAUAGGCUUAACCAGAUGAAAAGAAAGGAAGUGGAGACAUUUAAUAAUGGCUUUUCUUCAACUACCAAGACUAAAACUUAGUUUUCAAAUAUUUCUCCUCUAAGGUGGCCUACAAGUCCAACUAUACAUAAAUCAAGAGAAUCUCCUUUAAUGUCCAAUUCAAAACAACAGCACAUGUAACAGUGGCACAUAAGCAGCACACUGAAAUAAAACGUCUUCUGGCUUUCUGCCAAUUCUAUAAUACAUUUUCAUCUUAUUUAAGAUCAUAUUGUAAUCCUUAUAAAAAUUUGCUUUUAAUGUUACUACAAAAUGAUAGAAGCCUGAAAGACUUCUUUAAAAACAAAUGUAGGCAAUUCAUAAGAUACAAAAUAAUCAGAGUUAAGAUAGUCAUAAUCCAAUUGUGUUCAGAAUUAAUAAUAUCCAAGGUGGAGCCAUUUCCUGCAUUUUUGUCUGAGUUCAUGAUGUUGCAAGAUCACCUAUUAACUUUAUAAUUUACACUAAGGAGACAGAAUAACUAAGAAAGUUUUGGAAUUAAUACUGGGAAAUAAAUAGUAGCCAUGCUUCAUAAAGGACUGAAUUUAAGCCUUAAGUAUGCCUUACAACCAAUGUCUCAUGUUAUCAAAGAAACUACAAAUGAUAAUUGUCAAAAUACUGGCAAAGUCCAAAAAUACUGAUACAAUAUCCAGCAGCUGGAUAAUUCUGGGAAUUCCCUACAUAUAACAUUUAUUUGACUGUAGAAGAUAGUCCCAUAACAACAAUGACAACACUUUAAGCCACAACAGCAGUUUAUACUGUGUGAACUGUACACAGUGUGGAAGUGUAUGGAAGGAUACUGCCAUAUGGCAAAAGAAAUCCAAGGAGAUUGGGAAGAUGAUGGAGUAAGAGGACCCUAAACUCACCUUAUCCCAUGGAUACAACUAGAUAAACUCAUAUCAGUGUAAAUAACCCAGAAAACCAACUCAAGACUGUGACAGAACAAAUUCCUCAACUAAAGGUAGAGAUGAGGCCAUAGUAAAAAGAUAGGAAGGGUGGGGAUGCUGGGGGAGCAAAAUGGACCCUAGCAGUCCACAGAAGAAAGGGAGCCACUGGCAUGGAGAAGGGCAAGAAACAGACUAUCAUCCCAGGGAGCCCAUAACAUUGGGCUUUGAAAGCAAGACUGAAUUUUGUGAGUUCUUAUAACCAGUGGGAUAUAAAGCCUGGAACUUUAAAAAUCAUGGGGUUCAGCUUUGGGAGAGUCCUGAGGGCAACAGGAAGCUGAGUUCCCACCCUUAAAGAUAUAGUAUGACAAAAAGCCCUGGGAGACACGACGUAGAAGGAGCAAUUUGAAAAACACCUAGCACAUGUGGCAGAGAGAGCUAUUUACUCAUCUCAGAGCCUGUCCUAGAGACUAGGGAGCUGGAAGGAUCCAUUUCUCUCCCCUCUCCUCAGUAUGAACACAGGGCCACAUGAUGGGUAACAGGGGACAUGCUGCACUGCAGGACACCAUAGAACCUCUUCUUCAUAAGGCCAUUACUUUCAAGAACAGGAGACACAGCUGACUUCCUAACACAGAGAGACAAAAUGAAGAGACAGAAGAAUGUCCCAAAGGAAAAAUAGGACAAAACCAUAGCAAGAGACCUAAGCAAACAGAUAUAAGCAAUAUGCCUGACAGAAAAUUUAAAGUAAAGAUCAGGGAUCCCUGGGUGGCUCAGCGGUUUGGUGCCUGCCUUUGGCCCAGGGCGCGAUCCUGGAGUCCCGGGAUCAAGUCCCAUGUUAGGCUCCUGUCAUGGAGCCUGCUUCUUCCUCUGCCUGUACCUCUGUCUCUCUCUCUCUAUGUGUAUUGUGAAUAAAUAAAUAAAAUCUUUAAAAAAAAUAAAGAUCAUAAAGAUACUCACUAGACUUGAGGAAAGAGUGGAGGACUCAAUGAGACCCUUAAGAAAGAGAUAAAAAAUAAUCCAUCAGAGAUAAAGAAUGUAAUAAAUGAAAUUGAAACUAUACUAGCUAGAAUAAAUAGCAGACUAGAGGAAGCAGAGGAAUAAAUUAAUAAUCUGGAAGACAGAAUAACAGAAAAUAAUCAAGCUGAGUGCUGAAAGAAAAGAAUUAGGUAAAAAGAGAAUAGACUUAGGGAAUCCAGUGACUACAUCAUUAUACUAGCAUAAUAACAUUUGUAUUUAUAGGGAUAUGGGAAGAAAAACAGAGAACAAAGGGAGCAGAAAAUUUAUUUGAAGAAAUAAUAGUUGAAAACUUCCCAAAAUCU